rnacentral:misc_RNA from 1 species
AAGUCGUAACAAGGUUUCCGUAGGUGAACCUGCGGAAGGAUCAUUAACUUGAUUAAUAAUCUUCUUUUAUAAUUGGAUAUCAUAUAACCUAACCGCUGGGGGCAUAUUUUAAAAAAUUUAUAAAAAUUUUUCUCUCCGCUGGGGGCCAUAUUUAUUUUAAAAAGUUUAAUUUAUUUAAUUGUGCAAAUUAUACUAUUUUUUAUAGUUAGUGAUGGAUAAAGUUUCUAAAAAAACUUUCAACAAUGGAUCUCUUGGCUCUU